UACGAAGGGGGCGAGCGUUGUUCGGAAUUACUGGGCGUAAAGGGCGCGUAGGCGGCCUGCUAAGUCGAACGUGAAAUCCCCGGGCUCAACUCGGGAACUGCGUCCGAUACUGGCGGGCUUGAAUCCGGGAGAGGGAUGCGGAAUUCCAGGUGUAGCGGUGAAAUGCGUAGAUAUCUGGAGGAACACCGGUGGCGAAGGCGGCAUCCUGGACCGGCAUUGACGCUGAGGCGCGAAAGCUAGGGGAGCAAACGGG
rnacentral:rRNA from 1 species